rnacentral:rRNA from 1 species
CCCCACUGCUAUCGAGGUGGGACUAAGCCAUGCUAGUCGAACGACCCGGACUAUGGCGGGGAGUGGCAGACUGCUCAGUAACACGUAGCUAACCUACCCUCAGGACGGGGAUAACCCCGGGAAACUGGGGCUAAUACCCGAUAGGUGUGGAUUCCUGGAAUGGUGCCAUGCCUAAACGUAAGCACAUCCAUGUUUGUGUGCACGCCCGAGGAUGGGGCUGCGGCCGAUCAGGCAGUUGGUGAGGUAACGGCUCACCAAACCUUUGACCGGUACGGGCCAUGAGAGUGGUAGCCCGGAGAUGGGCACUGAGACAAGGGCCCAGGCCCUACGGGGCGCAGCAGGCGCGAAACCUCCACAAUUCACGAAAGUGAGAUGGGGUUACCUCGAGUGCCGUCUGAAGAAGGCGGCUUUUCCAUGGUGUAACAAGCCGUGGGAAUAAGGGGGGGGCAAGACUGGUGUCAGCCGCCGCGGUAACACCAGCCCCCCGAGUGGUGGGGAUGAUUAUUUGGCCUAAAGCGUCCGUAGCCGGCUUUGUAAAUCUCUCGUUAAAUCCAGCGUCCUAAGCGUUGGGCUGCGAGAGACACUGCAGAGCUAGAGGGUGGGAGAGGUCAGCGGUAUUCCUGGGGUAGGGGCGAAAUCCAUUGAUCCCAGGAGGACCACCAGUGGCGAAGGCUGCUGUCCAGAACACGCCUGACGGUCAGGGACGAAAGCUGGGGUAGCGAAUCGGAUUAGAUACCCGAGUAGUCCCAGCCGUAAACGAUGCAGGCUAGGUGUUGGGUCGGCCACGCGCCGCCUCAGUGCCACAGGGAAGCCAUUAAGCCUGCCGCCUGGGGAGUACGGCCGCAAGGCUGAAACUUAAAGGAAUUGGCGGGGGAGCACCACCAGGCGUGAAGCCUGCGGUUU